rnacentral:rRNA from 1 species
CCUACGGGAGGCAGCAGUGGGGGAUAUUGCACAAUGGGGGGAACCCUGAUGCAGCGACGCCGCGUGUGGGAAGACGGUCCUCUGGAUUGUAAACCACUGUCCCCAGGGACGAAAAUGACGGUCCCUGGGGAGGAAGCUCCGGCUAACUACGUGCCAGCAGCCGCGGUACUACGUAGGGAGCGAGCGUUGUCCGGAAUUCCUGGGUUUAAAGGGAGCGUAGGCGGGGAUGCAAGUUGGGGGUAAAAACUACCGGCUCAACUGGUAGUCGCACUCAAAACUGCAGCUCUUGAGUGAAGUAGAGGCAGGCGGAAUUCCUAGUGUAGCGGUGAAAUGCGUAGAUAUUAGGAGGAACACCAGUGGCGAAGGCGGCCUGCUGGGCUUUUACUGACGCUGAGGCUCGAAAGUGUGGGGAGCAAACAGGAUUAGAUACCCCAGUAGUC